rnacentral:rRNA from 1 species
ACACGUGAAGAAUCUGCCCUCCACUUUGGGAUAACACCGGGAAACCGGUGCUAAUACCGAAUAUUGAAAUAUAAGUGGCAUCACUGAGUUUUGAAAGAAUUUCGGUGGAGGAUGACUUCGCGGCCUAUCAGCUAGUUGGUGAGGUAAUGGCUCACCAAGGCAACGACGGGUAGCCGGCCUGAGAGGGCGACCGGCCACACUGGGACUGAGACACGGCCCAGACUCCUACGGGAGGCAGCAGUGGGGAAUAUUGGGCAAUGGAGGAAACUCUGACCCAGCGACGCCGCGUGCGGGAUGAAGGCCUUCGGGUUGUAAACCGCUUUCAUUAGGGAAGAAGCGAAAGUGACGGUACCUACAAAAGAAGCACCGGCUAACUAUGUGCCAGCAGCCGCGGUAAUACAUAGGGUGCAAGCGUUGUCCGGAAUUAUUGGGCGUAAAGAGCUCGUAGGUCGUUUGUUACGUCGGAUGUGAAAACCUGAGGCUCAACCUCAGGCCUGCAUU